ACGAACGCUGGCGGCGUGCUUAACACAUGCAAGUCGAACGAGGUCCAUGGAGCUUGCUCCGGAAGACCUAGUGGCGAACGGGUGCGUAACACGUGAGAAACCUGUCCCGGACUUGGGAAUAACAGUCGGAAACGACUGCUAAUACCGAAUACCUUCGGAUCGUCGCAUGGCGAACCGAAGAAAGCGUAUGCGGUUCGGGAGGGUCUCGCGGCCUAUCAGCUAGUUGGUGAGGUAACGGCUCACCAAGGCAUCGACGGGUAGCUGGUCUGAGAGGAUGAUCAGCCACACUGGGACUGAGACACGGCCCAGACUCCUACGGGAGGCAGCAGUGGGGAAUAUUGCACAAUGGGCGCAAGCCUGAUGCAGCAACGCCGCGUGCGGGAAGAAGGCCUUAGGGUUGUAAACCGCUUUCAGCAGGGAAGAAAAUGACUGUAGCCGGAGAAGAAGCCCCGGCUAACUUCG
rnacentral:rRNA from 1 species